UGAGAUUUUACGUUUCUCAAAGGGUAAAUGC
rnacentral:piRNA from 1 species